UCAAAACUAAACGCAAUAAUAUUUUAAGUUAAUUAUUAUGUCAAUAGUUCAGUCGCUUAUCUAAUUUCGAUUAGAGUGGUUGUAUUCCAGAUGUUCUUCAAGAUUUUUUGUUUGUCCUUACUUUCGAGUGUUUUGUGCAGCUCAAAAGUUACUGAACAGCCAUCAGAAAUGAGUGGGAACGCUGGCAAGGCUCCGUUCUUUGAGUUACCAUGUAUGCAAGCUGGUGGUAUUUGUGCACGAAGGUUCGCCUGUCCCCCCGGGAAUAUUGUUACGGAGAUAGGAUUGUGUCCUGAACAACAGCGGCAGGGUAUGGAGUGCUGUAAACCUCUUUCAGGAGGCUGGGGGAUGUGGCGGUAUUCUGACAGAAUUACCAAAAGGCAAAAUACUAUAAAACCACGGAUCCCUGGAUAUCCCAUAACCAUUGGACAUAUUUAACGGAAUUUAAUUUACUGAUAAUAUUGUAAAAG
rnacentral:lncRNA from 1 species